rnacentral:rRNA from 1 species
CCUACGGGAGGCAGCAGUGGGGAAUAUUGCACAAUGGGGGAAACCCUGAUGCAGCAACGCCGCGUGAGUGAAGAAGUAUUUCGGUAUGUAAAGCUCUAUCAGCAGGGAAGAAGCUGACGGUACCUGUAUAAGAAGCCCCGGCUAACUACGUGCCAGCAGCCGCGGUGAUACGGAGGGGGCAAGCGUUAUCCGGAUUUACUGGUUGUAAAGGGAGCGCAGACGGCAGUGCAAGUCUGGAGUGAAAGCCCGGGGCCCAAACCCGGAACUGCGCGGGAAACUGGGCGGCUAGAGUACUGGAGGGGCAGGCAGAAUUCCUAGUGUAGCGGUGAAAUGCGUAGAUAUGAGGAGGAACACCAGUGGCGAAGGCGGCCUGCUGGACAGUAACUGACGUUGAGGCUCGAAAGCGUGGGGAGCAAACAGGAUUAGAUACCCUUGUAGUC